rnacentral:lncRNA from 1 species
AGCAAAUUGUUUUUAAAUACAGAUUAAUUUGAAAUUAUUAAAUUUUGUAAAAUUCUUUCCCAUCUUAUAUUGUAACCUCUAUGAACUUGAGAAAGCUGUUCUAGAUCUCUUAUAAUAAUCAACAGUAGAACACACAAUAACAAAACUUAGAGUGCAGUAAACAAAUUGACAUCAGGGAGCUUCAUAAUUGAAUAUCAACAAUGUCAACCAAUAUAGAGCUGGGAAAAAGCAUACAUAAUCUAAGAUCAAGAAAAUUGACAUAUCAACAAGAACUCUGGAUGUAGCUUAUAGUGACAGAAAAGAAACAAAUUGUAUCUUUUUUUUU